GGAGGUCUACGGGUGGAGGUCUACGGGUGGAGGUCUACGGGUGGAGGUCUACCGGUGGAUGUCUACGGGUGGAGGUCUACCGGUGGAGGUCUACGGGUGGAGGUCUACCGGUGGAGGUCUACCGGUGGAGGUCUACCGGUGGAGGUCUACCGGUGGAGGUCUACGGGUGGAGGUCUACGGGUGGAGGUCUACCGGUGGAGGUCUACAGGUGGAGGUCUACAGGUGGAGGUCUACGGGUGGAGGUCUACCGGUGGAGGUCUACGGGUGGAGGUCUACCGGUGGAGGUCUACGGGUGGAGGUCUACCGGUGGAGGUCUACAGGUGGAGGUCUACCGGUGGAGGUCUACAGGUGGAGGUCUACAGGUGGAGGUCUACCCGUCGGUGUGAAUCUGAACCAGGAGAGCGAGUCCUUUACAGACGACACAGUAGAGAACACAAGUUGGUCUGCAGUGAAUUUGUGCUGGUUUAAAAAAAUAAAUGUAAAAGUGAAAAAACUCAAA